rnacentral:rRNA from 1 species
CCUACGGGUGGCAGCAGUGGGGGAUAUUUCACAAUGGGGGAAACCCUGAUGCAGCGACGCCGCGUGGGUGAAGAAGUAUUUCGGUAUGUAAAGCCCUAUCAGCAGGGAAGAAAGAAGACGGUACCUGACUAAGAAGCACCGGCUAACUACGUGCCAGCAGCCGCGGUAAUACGGAGGAUGCGAGCGUUAUCCGGAUUGAUUGGGUUUAAAGGGUGCGCAGGCGGAGGUGAAAGUCAGCGGUCAAAUUGCGGGGCUAAACCCCGUACUGCCGUUGAAACUGGCUCCCUUGAGUGCGCGAGAAGUAUGCGGAAUGCGUGGUGUAGCGGUGAAAUGCAUAGAUAUCACGCAGAACUCCGAUUGCGAAGGCAGCAUACCGGCGCGCAACUGACGCUCAUGCACGAAAGCGUGGGUAUCGAACAGGAUUAGAUACCACAGUAGUC